GAACUCCGGAUUGGCCUCCUUUGCGCUGCCUCGUGUGGUGCAUUGCGUGGCCGAGAAGUUGUUCAAAUUUGAUCAUUUAGAGGAAGUAAAAGUCGUAACAAGGUUUCCGUAGGUGAACCUGCGGAAGGAUCAUUAAUGUAAAACUUGUGUUUAACUACACUGUGAACUACUGUUGGGACUCCCGGCUCGGUUGAUGGUGUGCGUGCGUGUCCGAGGAUACCCGCACACCAGCAACCGCCAAUAGUUACCUUUUUUAAACGUACCUAUUGUAGCCACCACACUGUGCGAUAAUAUUAAAAAGGAGAAAACUGCUGACGGCGGAUCUCUUGGUUCGUGUAUCGAUGAAGAACGUAGCCAGUUGCGAAAAGUAAUGUGAAUUGCAGAAUGAAGUGAAUCAUCGAAUCUUUGAACGCAAAUUGCACUCUUUGGAAUUCCAUUGAGUAUGUCUGUCUGAGUGUCUUGACAAACCUUACACUACUACGUGUGAACUCGGGCCUCCGGUCACGUCCAGUGACUCGCGCCUGCAAGACUCUACUCGGCAACGCUUGAGACAACAACGUUUGAUCUCAGACAAGCUAGUCCGGUCCACACCCAUUCAACCAUGGACCUCAGAUCAGGCAAGACUACCCGCUGAAUUUAAGCAUAUUAAUAAGCGGAGGAAAAGAAACUAACUA
rnacentral:rRNA from 1 species